UUUUUCUGCGAAGUAUUCCUAACUAAGUAGUGGAAAAUCUCCAAUAUAUCUGCAAUAAAAAGUGGUACGAAAAAUGUAAAUUACUGAACGAGAAUCCAACUAAAUAUUUGUGAUUUCGAAACGAUAAAAGCCUAUAGAAAGUGGUGAAGUUUUGUGUCAAAUCCAAGCACAGACUCUACAUGCAAGAAUU